rnacentral:rRNA from 1 species
AGUGAACGCUGGCGGUAGGCCUAACGCAUGCGAGUCGAGCGGAAGCACAGUAAGAGCUUGCUCCUACGGGUGGCGAGUGGCGGACGGGUGAGGAAUACAUCGGCAUCUUAUUUUUCGUGGGGGAUAACGUAGGGAAACUUACGCUACUACCGCAUACGACCUACGGCUGAAAGCAGGGGAUCUUCGGACCUUGCGCGAUUCAAUGAGCCGAUGUCGGAUUAGCUAGUUGGCGAGGUAAAGGCCCACCAAGGCGACGACCCGUAGCUGGUCUGAGAGGAUGAUCAGCCACACUGGAACUGAGACACGGUCCAGACUCCUACGGGAGGCAGCAGUGGGGAAUAUUGGGCAAUGGGCGCAAGCCUGAUCCAGCCAUACCGCGUGGGUGAAGAAGGCCUUCGGGUUGUAAAGCUCUGUUGUUGGGAAAGAAAAGCAGCAGAUUAAAACACCGCUGUUUUGACGGUACCCAAAGAAUAAGCACCGGCUAACUACGUG